UUUGAUGUUAGAUGUCAUUAGAUGUUAACGGUUGUGAAUCCCACUGAAAAAGUUGUGCAGUUCAUGGAUCCAUUAAAGAGGCGAUUUAUCAUCAGUGAAUGGAGAGCUAUUGUGGACAACUCCAUCAAAAUAUACAAUGCACAAAAACAUAAAAAAAGGCAGAAAAUCAGUUAUGUGGAACAAUUGUGCGGGCAUUCCAGAGCAGCGAGGUGGUAAAACCUGUAGGUUAUGGAUUAUACAUUACAUGAAGGACAUAGUGGAGGACAAGAACCAAGAAUGGAGUGCUAAGGUAAUAUAUGUCAACUCAUUUAAGUUCUUCAUACUGGUUAGCAUUCCAGAAAACUUAAGGCUAAACUAUAAUUUAACUUUCACAUUUUUUAUUGUUGCACUGGGAAAGAAGUGUAGAUAUACCUCCACUAGCAUGGCUCAUUCUCUAUGUCACCAUGCAUAAGCAACACCCUCUUAGUAGGCCCACAAGCCAUGGUGGGGCCCAACCAUGACAUACAAGCCGUAACCCGACAUACAACCUACCCCGUGGUAGUCGGAAGCGGCCAAGUCCUCGCUGGGAAGCAACCUU